UACAGAGGGGGCAAGCGUUGUUCGGAAUUACUGGGCGUAAAGGGCGCGUAGGCGGCCUGUUAAGUCGGACGUGAAAUCCCUCGGCUCAACCGAGGAACUGCGCUCUAAACUACCGUGCUCGAGGGAGGUAGAGGUGAGCGGAACUGAGGGUGGAGCGGUGAAAUGCGUUGAUAUCCUCAGGAACACCGGUGGCGAAAGCGGCUCACUGGACCUCUUCUGACGCUGAGGCACGAAAGCUAGGGUAGCGAACGGG
rnacentral:rRNA from 1 species